rnacentral:SRP_RNA from 1 species
AGCCAGGACCCAUGCGAAUGGACGCCGCCCAACUCCGCCAGGUCCGGAAGGAAGCAACGGCAAGCGGAUGCCCAUGGCGCCGUGGCCAUCCUGGCUGCG